CCUGUGCCUUCUUCGAGCCCGCGAGCCGAGGGCACGGCGGGGCGGCCCGGGGGAGGCGGUGCCGGGCUGCGCGGGCCCCACUCCUCCCUCACCGCCCCUGCGCCGUGAGACGAGACAAGAUGGCGGCGGUCGGGCCGAGGCCGGGGAGCGGCAGCGGGCUCGGCUGCCCGGUGUAGCGCAGGGAGCCGGGCCGUAAUCCGCGUGUCUUCCCCGCUUUAUUAACCACGGAGCUCGAGGAGCAGCAGAAGAGGCAGCGUGCGCCCUGUUUGCAGCCCUGAAAUGACACCGAGACACUUGAACGCGGGCGGACGGGAGAGGAUGGUGCCCUGAUGCGCUGAAGGGCUGUACCAGGAUCAGUGCUACAGAAAGCAGCACGCAGGCAGCAGCAGGAGAGAAAGGAAUUUAUCAUAGCAACACUGAACCAAGACUAUGCCUCAGCUCUUCAUAUGGAACUGCUGACAGAGGAAGCUGCAGAACUGAAAGCAGUCAGUCCUUGACUGCAUGAGACCAUGCCUCUCACAGAAGGCAAAUGAUGUCUUACUUAAAAAAAUUUAUGAAAUGCAAACUUAUUGAUUCACUUCUCUUAGAGCUGUAACACUUGAAUAACUGCGCAAGGUUAAGGUUCCUACUCACUUCAAAUUAAGAUUUAUAGUUUGAUUUGCUGAGAAGACUACGGAGGUCAAAUAAAAAAAAAACCCAGCAAAAACUUUUCUUUUAGCAUACAGGGUCUUUCUUUCUCCUACUACAGGAGAGCCUUUUUAUAUACAUGGUGAACUAAAACUUAACAAGUACAGAACAAAACAUACACAACAACAUUUUUUCACAGAAAAAAGUAGCCUCUGAAAACGUGAAGUUGUCAGUAAAAAGGAAUACAACAGGAAAGUACAUAAUAGAGCAAUACUUUUAUAUUAUUGCAACAGCAAUAAUACUAUCAGGAAAUACUAUCACUAAAUCAGUAGAAAAUUAACUGCUUACAAAUGCAAAUACUGACCUAAUAUUAAUUAAUAGUGCUGCAGGCAUUGAGUGUGGAUAACUGUAUUUUCAGCUUUGUAGUGCAGAAGUUCUGGUUGUAAACUCGUGUGCUUUAAUGAUUUAAAUAACAGUUUGGAGCUUUUGCUUUAUACUGUUUGUGUAUAGCUUAAAGAUAAAUGGCUGGUAACUUGUCCUGGGUUUACUCCACAGUGCUUGAGAGUUGCCUCUGUGAUCCAGUAAGAUAGUGGGACUACCAAGUUUCCUUUAUUUGAACAAGUAUCGGAACUUUUGACCAAAGUGGGAUUAAGUUCUACUCACGUUAGAAGAGCACUCCUGUCCAAUAUACACACAAGAAACUAUCAAGAAGCACACUUCUUAAAUUGACACUGGUUUAUUGUGUUUAGGAACAUUUAAUAAAUACCAGUCUUUUGGCUUCAGUUUGGCAAUCCCUUCCCACCAAAAAUCCAUUGUGUUGGGGUUUUUUCUGGCAUAAACUCCAUUGCCAGCAAUGGAUGUAUCAGAAAAAGAAGUUAAUAAAUACAGACAGCAGUUCUCUAAACAUACGUCUUCGUUUAAAGGCAUGAUACAGAUUUACUGAACAAAUGUCAAACAAGUUCUUCACAGAAGAAAAUUUUACUACAAGCUGUCUCUGAACAUUGCUUUCUUCACUAAUGCUGGUAGUUUAUUUCAUUGAGUACAAUAUUUUUGAACAGUACUGUUGAAUCAUUUAAAAACAAGCUUUUUCCCCCUUUUCCUCAGCUUAAGGUAAGCUGAGACAUGUAAUUAGUACUGAACUGUAUGAAUUUAAGACUGGUGUACCUCUUCCUGAGCAUUUCAUGACAAUCAUGAAGAAACAGCAAUAUAAGACUUUGUUAGUAUGGGCCUGGGGAAUUUUUUUCAGUUGUUUCAGCUUGCUUUUAAACCACUGUUCAAAUGUUAAAAGUAUCAUAUUUAACAGAUGUUUUGUGUAAAUUUUUGUGAAGUUUAAAAACAUGAUGGAAGAUUCCUGCUUGUGAUGAGAAUCACUUUCAAGUACUUAAAUUUGAAUAUCCCACAAAACUCCAUUGCUUAUUAAAAAUGUGUUUUUAUAAAAGCAUGAAGACUACAGAAAACCAAUUAACAUAACAGAGUUAAUCUUGAAUAAAUUUUUCCACAACUGUAUUUUACAUAUAACCAAACUCCUGCUUUAGCAAAAGCAAAAAGAAUAAAAAUAAAUUCUCUCCCAACUAUUUA